UCCUUUUCGGGGGCAGACCGGGACCCAGGAGGCUGGCUGUGGGCUGAACCAGGAUGAGAAUUCGGGACAACCCAGUCCCUGCCAGGGCUGCUCUCCAGGAAGAGAAUUGGGAACCCUUCUCUAUGGGCAGUCUGCCUGUCUUGGAAAGCCAACUUGCAUGCGUGCGUGCGUGCAUGCGUGCCUGUGUCUGCACGUGGAUUACCAACAGUAACAGCCGCUGACUCAGCAAGUGGUGUGCCAGCAGAGAAGAGGUUUGCAUACAUUAUCAGUUAAUUCUCAAAUUAUUGGCCCCACGAGGCUCUGGAAUUUCGUGGUCCUGUCAAGGCACUAGUGGUGGAGGGUUGACACUCACCCAUGCGACUCGCCCAUGGGACCGUCAGGUACGGCACCCAAAGGCAGCGAAGAGGAAAUGUGAGCUGCAUUUGCCCUGCUGGAUGCACGGAACUCCAGGAAGGCAGGGUUUUCUGUUGGAAGCGGCCUGGCUUGGCUCAGACACCAUGGGAGGACAGCCACCAAAAGCUCUGAUCUGCAGUGGACUGUGACCUGAGCUCAGCGUAAGCCUUUGCUGUGUCUGGUAACUGGG